AUGCCUACGAAUCAGAGGGGAGGUGAAGAUGCAGCUCUAGUAUUUCUAGCGACCAGAAGGAAAGCCACAACCCCCCGCCAACAGCCCAAAAAUUCGAGCUGCCGCCCCACCUCUGACCCGGCCCGCCAAGCCACAGGUCCAAGCCUCCCGCCACGUCAGCGAUCCGCGGCAUCUCUCUCGCGGAUCCCCAUCUCGACCGUCCACCGCAUCCGCAUCGAACGGCAGGCACACGCCUCCUCCAACCUCUCUCCCCUUUAAAACGCCCCUCGCCCCUCCCCGCAAAUCACAACACAAACCACCAACCACCACCGCUACUCCAACCCCACAUUCGCUUGCCAGCAGCUCGAAGAGGAUCGUCGGCGACCAUGUCCGGGCGCGGCAAGGGAGGCAAGGGGCUCGGCAAGGGCGGCGCCAAGCGCCACCGGAAGGUGCUGCGCGACAACAUCCAGGGCAUCACCAAGCCGGCGAUCCGGAGGCUCGCUCGGAGGGGUGGCGUGAAGCGCAUCUCGGGGCUCAUCUACGAGGAAACCCGCGGCGUGCUGAAGAUCUUCCUCGAGAACGUCAUCCGCGACGCCGUCACCUACACCGAGCACGCCCGCCGCAAGACCGUCACCGCCAUGGACGUCGUCUACGCGCUCAAGCGCCAGGGCCGCACCCUCUACGGCUUCGGCGGCUAGGCGCUUCCUCGCCCCUCCCCUGCAGAUCCCAAAAGCUUGAUGAUACCGCGACUUGUGUGGUUUGCUACUUCCUCUGUAGUUCCAAGUGAAUCGUGAAACAAAGCUACUCGCAUCUGGAGUUGGAAAUCAAUAUACACCGUGUUUCUGAA